AAAGAAAAGGGAAUGGACACACCUGGGAUUAGAAGUGGUGACCUGGGGCAAGGAAAAUAUUCUCUGGAAAAAUAAUGAAAAAGAAAACACAAUGCAACCGCUUUGGAGGAUCGAACUCAUGACUUGGGGGCUUGUUGGUUUAGCAGUUUCAUUUUUCAUUUGAAAAACCCUAGCAGCUGCUCCAUCCACGAACCCAGAACCCAAACGGCUCUCCCUCUCUCUAAUUCAAAACGUCCAUUUCAGAACAGACAUGACAUGCACACGUGUCAGGCAUCCAUGAGGUGAACUUGAUAGGAUUCCAAAAUAAAGGCUAAAAGAUGCCACAUUUCUCUCAUUUCUGAGUGUUCAUUCUAGAAACCCGAUCUGCACCUCCAUAUCAAAACCCUCUGCCUUCAACAAAAACCUCAGACUUGAGCCCAUCUCACCUAUCCCAGCUCACCUAUUUCAGCCAUUACGGUUUGCCGACGCACAAAGACGACGAGCAGAGACGAUGGUGAACAUGACAAGGAACGGUAGCAACGUCAAACUUGACGAUGUCUACUGGAUCCUUGAUUUGCUUGCACUGCUGUGCUCCCUUCUGUGUUGCUUGGAUCCCACCCCCAAACUUGUAUGUAAUAAUAUUUUAAAUAAAAUGCGAGGGAGUGAUUGAGUGAGAGGGGGUGCCAAGCAAUGCAAGGGACUUCAUCACCAAACCCACUGUGUUUGAUUUUUGUAAUGCUGAAUCUCAUUAAUGUUGAUGAAUUUAUGAUGAA